UGGCGGCGUGCUUAACACAUGCAAGUCGAACGGUGAAGGGAGCUUGCUCCCGGAUCAGUGGCGAACGGGUGAGUAACACGUGAGCAACCUACCCUUGACUCUGGGAUAACAGUUGGAAACAGCUGCUAAUACCGGAUACGACCCUGGUGGACAUCCACCGGGGUGGAAAGCUCCGACGGUCAAGGAUGGGCUCGCGGCCUAUCAGCAUGUUGGUGAGGUAACGGCUCACCAAGGCGACGACGGGUAGCCGGCCUGAGAGGGCGACCGGCCACACUGGGACUGAGAUACGGCCCAGACUCCUACGGGAGGCAGCAGUGGGGAAUAUUGCGCAAUGGGCGAAAGCCUGACGCAGCAACGCCGCGUGCGGGAUGACGGCCUUCGGGUUGUAAACCGCUUUCAGCAGGGACGAAGCAACACGUGACGGUACCUGCAGAAGAAGCACCGGCUAA
rnacentral:rRNA from 1 species